rnacentral:lncRNA from 1 species
AUGGACCUGACAUUCCAGGUUCCUAUGCAAUAUUGCUCUUUACAGCAUCGGACCUUGCUUCUAUCACCAGUCACAUCCACAACUGGGUAUUCUUUAUGCUUUGGCUCCAUCCCUUCAUUCUUUGUGGAGUUAUUUCUCCACCGAUCUCCAGUAGCAUAUUGGGCACCUACUGACCCGGGGAGUUCCUCUUUCAGUAUCCUGUCAUUUUGCCUUUUCAUACUGUUCAUGGGGUUCUCAAGGCAAGAAUUCUGCAAAGAAGUAGAGGAAAACAACAGAAUGGAAAAGACUGGAGAUCUCUUCAAGAAAAUUAGAGAUACCAAGGGAACGUUUAAUGCAAAGAUGCACACAAUAAAGGACAGAAAUGGUAUGGACCUAACAGAAGCAGAAGAUAUUAAGAAGAGGUGGCAAGAAUACACAGAAGAACUAUACAAAAAAGAUCUUCACGACCCAGAUAAUCAUGAUGGUGUGAUCACUCACCUAGAGCCAGACAUCCUGGAGCGUGAAGUCAAGUGGGCCUUAGAAAGCAUCACUACGAACAAAGCUAGUGGAGGUGAUGGAAUUCCAGUUGAGCUAUUUCAAAUCCUGGAGGAGGAUGCUGAGAAAGUGCUGCAGUCAAUAUGCCAGCAAAUUUGGAACACUCAGCAGUGGCCACAGGACUGGAAAAGGUCAGUUUUCAUUCCAAUCCCAAAGAAAGGCAAUGCCAAAGAAUGCUCAAACUACCACACAAUUGCACUCAUCUCACACGCUAGUAAAGUAAUGCUCAAAAUUCUCCAAGCUAGGCUUCAGCAAUACGUGAACCGUGAACUCCCAGAUGUCCAAGCUGGUUUUAGAAAAGGCAAAGGAACCAGAGAUCAAAUUGCCAACUUCUGCUGGAUCAUCGAAAAAGCAAGAGAGUUCCAGAAAAGCGUCUAUUUCUGCUUUAUUGACUAUGCCAAAGCCUUUGACUGUGUGGAUCACAAUAAACUGUGGAAAAUUCUUCAAGAGAUGGGAAUACCAGACCACCUGACCUGCCUCUUGAGAAAUCUGUAUGCAGGUCAGGAAGCAACAGUUAGAACUGGACAUGGAACAACAGACAGG